rnacentral:lncRNA from 1 species
GGGGGUUUGAUGCUCCUGCUUACUUUGGUUACCCUUGUUUUUCUCUCUGUUUUGGAGUUCCGAGCUGCGGCGAUGGCUUAAACUUGGAAGUUGUGGUCUCCCCAAUUAUCGUAGGCGUUCCUCUGUAACACCGGAGGGCGCUAUCUCGCGUCUCAGUCAACCGUCCUUUGGUUCUCAAAGGUGGAAAGCGGAGCAGUGGUCUGGACUUUGUUCUGGUUCUUUGCGGUGCCUGCUUGGUUAAGUGCAUAUCCCAGUACUGAUGAUAGUUUGUUUGAACUCCUUUAGUAGUG